GUGCUUGGAACUGAUGAUAGGGGAUUUACUGUAAAUGAGAAUGAAGCUCCGUCAAUUUUGACAACUGUUGGAGAUGAUGAGUAUUGGAGUGGAGAAGCUCAGGAACGAGAAAUAGGGAUACACGUACGUGAAUGAACUUGACCAACACCUUAUAAUUCAACUGGUGGAAAUCAUGUAGCUCCCCUGCACACAUGAAGUCGCAUGUGACCCAAGGACACAACACAUGGAUGCUCUGCUUGAUAUCAUUUGUGAAGUAUUGGCUAAUUAAGUUCAUUGUCAUAGGAGGAGCUGAAUAUUUUUUUUUUAUCAGUUGUCUAUUAGUUUAGCAUGUUGUUGUCAGAACUUAGCUAUCUUGGAUAUGUAUUCUCUGAACUCAGUAGUUCAUCUUUUUUUUUUUGUAA